AGAACGAACGCUGGCGGCAGGCUUAACACAUGCAAGUCGAGCGCCCCGCAAGGGGAGCGGCAGACGGGUGAGUAACGCGUGGGAACAUACCCUCCGGUUCGGAAUAGCUCAGGGAAACUUGGAUUAAUACCGGAUACGGCCUAGCGGCGAAAGAUUCAUCGCCGGAGGAUUGGCCCGCGUUCGAUUAGCUAGUUGGUGAGGUAACGGCUCACCAAGGCGACGAUCGAUAGCUGGUCUGAGAGGAUGAUCAGCCACAUUGGGACUGAGACACGGCCCAAACUCCUACGGGAGGCAGCAGUGGGGAAUAUUGGACAAUGGGCGCAAGCCUGAUCCAGCCAUGCCGCGUGAGUGAUGACGGCCUUAGGGUUGUAAAGCUCUUUCAGCAGGGACGAAGCGAAAGUGACGGUACCUGCAGAAGAGCGCCGGCUAACUACGUGCCAGCAGCCGC
rnacentral:rRNA from 1 species